rnacentral:rRNA from 1 species
UACGAAGGGGGCUAGCGUUGCUCGGAAUCACUGGGCGUAAAGGGUGCGUAGGCGGGUCUUUUAAGUCAGGGGUGAAAUCCUGGAGCUCAACUCCAGAACUGCCUUUGAUACUAAAGAUCUUGAGUUCGGGAGAGGUGAGUGGAACUGCGAGUGUAGAGGUGAAAUUCGUAGAUAUUCGCAAGAACACCAGUGGCGAAGGCGGCUCACUGGCCCGAUACUGACGCUGAGGCACGAAAGCGUGGGGAGCAAACAGG